rnacentral:lncRNA from 1 species
AUUAAUAAGCCAUGAAACCAAAAUAACAAGUUCAAUUAGAAUGAACCAAGUCAAGAAAGGUAAGGGAUAAUCAACAAAGAAAAUCAACGAUAGUUCGUCAACUUUAUUAAAGGAAUUUUGGAAUUAAUCACUUAGUUAGUGAAAACAUUUUGAAAGCUUUAGAGUCACAAGCAAACGUAGAUUCAAGUUCAGUUACAGACUCAUCGUGUGUCUGAAAACCUAGGGUCCCAAAGUGGAACCCUAAUACCAUUUACCCAAAGGAAACCCCAAAAUCCUAGGUCUUCAAAUUGUGUCAGACAAUAGAGGUGAGAAGGCAAGUCAUCGAAAUAGACUUAGAGGUCUGUUUCAAAGCCUUAUGAGAACUAAAGCAGGGAUGAUAGCAGGUUUGAAACGCAAAUCAAGAAAACCGAUUUGAGAGCAUAAAAGGACAUGUAGAAAAAUCGGGACUUAAUCAAGUUCAGAAGAAAAGAGAGGAUACGAACAUAAACAGAAUAGAUAAAACAUGCUUAGCAAGAACACAAACAGAGUUCAGUAAAGCAAAAAUCAAGGAACUCAAUGGUAAACAUAUGUAGUAGAAGAAUAAGGAAAACAUAACACAGAUUGAUCGUGAGCACACGUAUAAAAAGUAAGUAGAAGAAUAGUGCAUGCAUAGUAGAAGAGAUCAUACGAACAUGAAAUGAACAAACAUGAAUAAAGAAAAGAAAAAGAAGAAUAAAAAAAUGUGUUUUCUUUUUUUAAAAAAACUUGCAGAAACCCUAAAUUGAACACAAACGAUUUUAAAAAGAAAACUUGGGGAAAACACUUAAAAUGUUGAGUAGAGUGUAGAUUCAGCAUAGAUCUAGGGAAAAAAACAAAGAAAGAACCUUGAAUAGCUUAGGGUUCGGAGAAACACUAGAAGUGAGAAAGGCUUGGAAGAAAUCAGAUCCUAAGUCGAAAAGGUUAGGAAUCAUGCUUUUAGUGCUAGAACAUGUCGAAGUGUGUCUGGAGAAGACAUAGAUCUACAGAUCUGAGAAGUUAUGAGAAGAGGGUAGUUGAGAUCAAGCUUCAAAACCUCGAACAACUUAGGUCUAAUGGUGGAGAGAGGUGAGUACAGACCAUCCAUGGCCUGAGAAGCCAUGAAUUUUGGUGAAAUUACGGUGAAAAAAGGUAGGAAGUGGCUGGGGUUCCGAUGAACCUUGAGACAAUUUUGAGAUAAGAAAGGGUUAAAAGACAACGGCUGAGUGUGAAUGAGGGAUUAUGGCAGGUCGUUCGAGAUUUAAAAAGGUAAGGUAUAAUCUGGGCCGUUGAUCAAAAUGAUCAACAUCUUGGAUUGAAACAAAGGCC